CUCAAGGUCAGACACCUAACUAAUAUUCAAACUAAAACAAGAACCCAGGUCUCCUAACUCCCAAAGACACUGUGGUUUGUAGAUUAUAAGCUAACUUUUUUGAACCCUCUCUUCCCGUCAUGAUACUUCUUAUCACCUUCUUUUGGGUAACUGAUAAAAACUAAAUGAAAGUGAUCCUGACUAUUUCUUACAUAUGUGACAGACUCCCAGACUGUCACAGUUCAGACCGGCCUAAUACUGUAUUAA
rnacentral:lncRNA from 10 species